rnacentral:lncRNA from 1 species
UGCUGAUGUUGAGACAUGAUUGCUUAUAAUUUCUAAUUUCAUAUAAAUGCUUCAAAAACAACAUACUAAUUUAAUUUUACAGAUUUAUCUCCUUCUUCUAACCCUUUGUUCAACUGUGCUGAAGGAUCCAGGAGAUCAUGAGAUCUGAUUUGCUCAUGGGGACUCUCUCCUUGACUUGAGUGGGAGUUCAUCUUUUCCACCAUUUGGUGGGGAUGAUGACAUCAUUCCUAGGUUCUGAUGUGUGUGUUGCUCAGCUGUCCAUUGUCACAAAAAGACUUAACCUAAUUAACUGGGGAUGGCUCAUUUAG